rnacentral:lncRNA from 1 species
AUUCUUCGCUUACUAAAUUACUUUUACUCCAAGGAUGUUUAGCCAUUGCUUGCAGUCCUGCUAAUUCAUGGGCAACUUCCUUCAUUGUUGGCCUUUCCUCUCCCUUCACUCUCACACAUCUCCUAGCUAAAGUUGCUACUUCCAUAAGCUGCUCAACAUUUUCAUCAUUAAGCACUCGAGGAUCGAGAAUGUCGAGCAAACGGUCUUCUUUCAUCAAAGAAGUGAAGUACAUUGGCAAAACUCGAUUUUCCGGUCUUUUGAAACAUACCACUUUUUGUCCUGUUAACAACUCCAUAAGCACAACCCCGAAGCUGUAGACAUCACUUUUUUCAGUAAGAAGGCUUGAAAGCAUGUAUUCAGGAUCCAAGUAACCGAAAGUUCCUUGCACAAUUGUAGUUAUUUGUGCUUGGUCAGAUGGGAUCAAUCUGGAAGCCCAAAAUCAGAAACUUUUGCGGUGUAAUUGUCAUCUAACAGUAUGUUCGCCAACUUGUUGUCUCGGUGAAUGAUUGGAAUGGAAGCUGCAGAGUGCAAAUAAGAAAGGGCUUCUGCUGUUUCAGUGACUAUUCUCAAACAGGUCUCCCAUGAAAGAUAAGAGGUAGCAUCAUCAUUAUGCAAAUGGUGAAAAUGGGUUCUGUUGGUGAUAUAUUCAUAAACUAACAGCGGAACUUGGGUCUCCAAACAACAUCCUAGGAGUUCGACAACAUUCCUAUGGUUGAUUUGGUAGAGCACCAUUAUUUCAUUGAUGAAUUGUUCAACUUGGCUAGGAUCUCCAAUUAUUGACUUUUUGAUGGCAACUAUUUGAUUAUCAGCCAAUGUUCCCUUGUACACUGUCCCUUGCCCUCCCUGUCCUAAAAUUCUGCGUUCAUUGUAAUUGUUUGUUGCCUUCUCGAGUUCCUCAGUUGUAAAUACUUUAACAUCUUCACGGUACCCUUGUUUUGAAAGUUGUUCCCGCAACAAAAUGCCACCAUUUUGCUAAAAGUAAGGUUCUUUUAAUUUUCACCAAAUUAAAGUUCAUGUAUACAAUUGUACAUGAAACCAAAGUUCAUGUAUAAUUUUGAGAUUUAUCUCUUUUUGAUUUUAAUGAUUUAUAUUUCUCAUCAGCUCACUGGAGUUGACAACUAUAAUAUUUGCAGUCGUGCGAUGCGAAUUGCGUUGAUUGCCAAAAAUAAAUUGGGUUUCAUUAAUGGUACUUGUUCCAAAGAUUUAUUGGCAGAAGAUUUGUACUCAUAGUGGGAGCGAUGCAAAGCUAUCGUGUUAUCUUGGAUAUUGUACACGGUAAGCAAAGAGCUCUCUACAGGUAUCGUUUUUGCUUCAAGUGCAACAGCAGUUUGGCAGGAUCUUAGCAAGCGAUUUAACAAGACUAAUGGUUCAAGAGUCUACUUCUUGCAUUGAGAAAUUUCUUCUCAUCUUCAAGGAAUUUCUUUGAUUUCAACCUAUUUCACAAAGCUUAGGUUGUGAUGGGAAGAGUAUGAUUCCCUAGUUCUCGUUUCUUCUUGUGGUUGUGUGCAAACUAAACAGGUUAUUGAUCACAUUGCGCAGCAGCGUUUGUUUCAAUUUUUGAUGGGUUCAAAUGAAACUGAUAGUGUUGUUUGGAGUCAAAUUUUAUUGAUGAGCCCCUUGCCUAUGGUCAAUCAAACAUAUUCCAUGCUCGUGCAAGAAGAGUCACAAAGGCAGCAUGUAUCAGGUCUAGUUGUUGCUGAUCCUACCUCUUUAUAUUCAGCAAAUGUCAAUCCAUACAUAAAUCGAUUUAAUGGUGUGUGUGAUCAUUGUAAAGUUUAGGGCCAUAAGAGAGAAAAUUGUUAUAGACUAAUUGGAUAUCCACUUGAUUUCAAGUUCACUAAUAAGCGUUUUAUGUCCGGGGCUAGUGCAAACAACGUGGUAGCAAACGAAGGGACAGUGGUUGAUAGCAGUGUGCCCAACAGCAACAUUCGAAGCUCUCUUGGUGUGUUUCAAUCUCUUGGGUUCACACAGGAACAAUAUUAGAAAAUAUUAAGCUUGUUGAACAAAGAAUCUUUGGUCGAGACGACUACAAAUAUGGCAAUUGGGGCAAAUUUAGCAGGUAUGAGUACAUCUUGUGAAUGGAUUUUAGAUACUGGUGCUCCUAAUCACAUGCUUUCUAGCUUCCAACACCUUGAAUUUCCUAUUGCAUGCACUUCUAAUUCACCAAGUGUUCGUUUACCAAAUGACUCCUCCACACCCAUAACACAUACAGGAUCGUAUACCCUCUAUCUCGGUGCCACUCUUAAAAAUGUGUUAUAUAUACCUGAUUUUCAAUACAAUCUCGUUUUUGUUUCAAAACUUACCAAGGAUUUGCAUUGUUUUGUUACAUUUUACUCACACUUUUGUAUUUUCCAAGACCUCUCAAGUGGCAUGAUGAAGGGGAUUGGUAGGGAACAUGGCGGCCUCUAUAUUCUUCAUUCUUCCCUAGCUAUAGUAUCUUCAACUCAUGUACCUUCUUCAACAGCUAAUUCUUUUCAUACAACUCUCGGUAGUUCUUUUAUCUGGUAUGUGCGACUCGGCCAUGCUCCUUUGUCAAGGUAUUUAGUUCGAUGCUUAAUUUUGUAGCGUGUAUUUCCAGAGUUUUUUUAAGUUUUGAAAACCAAAUUCUAAUUUGUCAAAUUCAAAUAAUUUUGCAGUUUACAUUAAGAACACCCAAAAAUUGACGAAUCAAACAAAACCCAAAAGCAAAAACAAAUCCGAAAACUUAGUCCAAAAAUCUUAAUUUCUCAACCAAAACAAACCAUUUUAUGUGAAAACCAAUCUGAACUCCUGCACGCCGUCCGGUCCUAAGCCUGACGAUCAUUUGAAACAUACUAAACAAACGAGUAAGCUAGAUUGUUGCAUAUUGUGACUCGGAUUGGGGAACAUAUCUGAUGACUAGAAAGUCGAUUACAGGGUACUGCAUCAAACUAAGAGAUCCGCUCAUUUCGUGGAAGUCCAAGAAGCAAAACACAAUCUCUCGGUCAUCUACGGCAGCAGAAUAUCGAAGCAUGGCAUUGACAGUUGCAGAUAUAAUUUGGUGAAGUGGUCUGUUGGGAGAAGUUAGUCUCGACAAAUUGGAACCAACAAAAUUGUUUUAUGAUAGUUGUUGCGGAAAGGAUCGAUUCGAGAACUCCGAUAUGACUACAAGUAAAUUGACCGAAACGAAAAAUAAAGUGAACACAAGGAUUUACGUGGUUCGGCUUUAAUGCCUACGUCCACGGGCAGAGGCGAAAAGAAAUUUCACUAUAACAAGAUGAAGAUUACAAGUGUUUUACACUCAAGACACAACCCGAGAACCUCACAACUCUCAACCCCUAUAGAAAACCCGAAAGCUAAAAUCCUAGCUUUCAAAGAACAAGCUUUGCUCUCUCUUGGUUUGGGAUGAUCAAUAUGGCUAAUGAACCUCUCUAUUUAUAAGAGAGUUCAAGGACAUAAUUGUCCAAAACUUUGGCAAAGAUUUGUGGUUGAAAAUGGACACCAACAACCAUCCACUAAUCCACUACCACCAACAACCCACUACCAACAACAACAAUCCACUACCAAUUUUAAGCCAUUUCUUAACAAAUCUCCACCUUGGCUUGAAAUUUACCAAGCUGAACAUCAUAGUGAACUGGAUCACCUCUUCCAAACGCCUCUCUGGCGCUAAUCAAUCCCGAAUACCUAUCAAGUCCAAGCAAUGCUUGAACUUAUAUGCAGGGAUCACCUUAGUUAACAUAUCUGUAGGAUUCUUCUCGGUAGCAACCUUGCUGAUAACAAUGUCACCUUGCGUAACAUGUUCCCGAACAAAAUGAUAUCUGACAUCAAUGUGUUUGGUCCGUUCAUGAAACAUCUGAUUUUUAGUCAGAUGUAUGGCACUCUGGCUAUCGCAAAAUACAACAGUGAAAUCCUGUUGUAAACCCAAACUGCUUACUAGACCUUUCAUCCACAAUGCUUCUUUCACUGCUUCUGCUAACGCCAUAUAUUCCGCCUCAGUCGUAGAUAAGGCUACGGUAGACUGUAACACAGCUUUCCAACUAAUGGCUCCUCCAGAAUAAGUGAAAACAUAACCCGUCAGAGAUCUUCUUUUGUCCAGAUCUCCAGCAUAAUCAGAGUCCGCAUAGCCCGUGACACUGCUAGUGCAGUCACUCUGAUCAUAUACCAAGCAUAAAUCUGCAGAACCUCUCAAGUACCUGAGAAUCCAUUUCACGGCCUGCCAGUGUUCCUUGCCAGGACAACUCAUGUAUCUGCUGACCACACUAACUGCAUGUGAAAUGUCUGGACGAGUGCAAACCAUUGCAUACAUCACGCUUCCAACUGCACUCGAGUAUGGAAUGUGAGACAUUUGCUGCUUUUCUUCCUCAGAUUGUGGUGACAACUCUGCAGAGAGUUUGAAAUGUGGUGCCAACGGAGUACUCACAGUUUUCGCUUUAUCCAUGCCGAAGCGUUGAAGAACCUUUUCAAUGUAGUUCUUCUGCGACACACGAAGCUUGCCCGCCUUGCGAUCUCUGUGAAUAUCCAUGCCCAAAAUUUUCUUGGCAGCACCCAGAUCCUUCAUCUCGAACUCACCACUCAACUGCGACUUUAACUUGUUGAUUUCCGACAUGUUUUUGGAAGCAAUUAACAUGUCAUCAACAUACAGCAACAAAUAAAUGUGCGAACCAUCUGAGAGCUUCCGAUGAUAGACACAAGCAUCAUAGUCACAUCUUGUGUAACCAUGCUGAAUCAUGAAGCUAUCAAACCGCUUGUACCACUGCCUUGGGGAUUGUUUCAAUCCAUAUAAAGACUUCUUUAAUAGACAGACAUGGUCUUCUUUACCAGGAACUGUAAAACCCUCUGGUUGACGCAUGUAGAUUGUUUCCUCGAGCUCACCAUGCAAGAACGCCGUUUUUACGUCAAGCUGCUCAAGUUCUAGAUCAGACUUGGCCACCAUGGCAAGUAAUAUACGAAUGGAAGAAUGCUUUACGACUGGGGAGAAAACUUCAUUGUAGUCAAUCCCCUCUUUCUGAGUGAAGCCUUUAGCAACCAAUCGUGCCUUGAAUCUAGUUGCUUCAACCCCUAGGAUGCCUUCCUUUUUCUUGAAGACCCAUUUGCAACCAACUAUCUUCUGGUUACUUGGCGGCUUAACCAACUCCCAAGUAUGGUUCUUGUGAAGAGAUUCUAUCUCCUCACUCAUAGCAAUUGCCCACUGUGCCGACUCAUCACACGUGACAGCCUCAUUAUAACUGGAAGGUUCUAUACCAAUGGACUCCGCCACACUGAGCGCGAAAGACACCAGAUUAGCGUAACGCGGAUUUGGUUUGAUUUGUCUCUUCGUUCUUCCAGUGGCAAUGCUAUAUGGUUUUUCUUGAGGUGACUCAUCUUCAUCGGAAUCUUGCACCUCAACUUGAUCAUCCUGGACUGAAGUACCUUCCGUAGGAAUUGGAGCGUCCACCUGACACUCCACCUGCUUCUCAACACCGUGAUCUCCCAUUCUAUCUGACUCCUCCUUUUCCCGGGAAUUUGUGGUGGAUCGAAGCAUGGAUGACUCAUCAAAAGUCACAUCUCUGCUGAUGAUGAACUUGGACGAAACCGGAUCAGGACACCACAACCUGUAUCCUUUCACCCCUUGGCCGUAUCCAAGAAAUAUGCAUUUCUUCGCCCUCGGUUUGAGUUUUCCCUCAUUUACAUGAGCAUACGCAGGGCAGCCAAACACUCUUAAACCAGAGUAAUCAGCAGGAGAACCAGACCAUACUUCCUCAGGAGUCUUCAGCUCAAUAGCUGUUGACGGAGAUCUGUUAACCAAAUAACAAGCAGUAUUAACAGCUUCAGCCCAAAAUUCUUCACCGAGCCCAGCAUUUGAUCGCAUGCAACGAGCUCGCUCCAAGAGAGUUCUAUUCAUGCGUUCUGCAACUCCAUUUUGUUGUGGUGUUCGACGAACAGUGCGGUGUCUCACUAUUCCUUCAUUCUUGCAGAACUCAUUGAAUUCACCUGAGCAAAACUCCAAGCCAUUAUCCGUCCGGAAUCGCUUGAUCUUCUUUCCUGUUUGAUUUUCGAUCAAAGCUUUAAAUUGCUUGAAGUUGAUGAGAACCUCAUACUUGCUCUUCAGAAAAUACACCCAAACCUUUCUCGAGUAAUCAUCGAUAAAGGUAAGCAGAUAUCUGUAACCACCUUUAGAAAUUGUCGGAGAAGGCCCCCAAAGGUCAGAAUGGAAGUAAUCCACUGUGCCUUUUGUCUUGUGAAUCCCAGUGCUGAACUUUACCCGAGUCUGCUUACCGAAGACGCAGUGCUCACAGAAAUUCAACUUUCCUGUACACUGCCCAGACAAUAAUCCUCGUUUGCUUAGCACCGAUAAGCCUCUCUCGCUCAUAUGCCCGAGCCGCAUAUGCCAUAACUUCGUGGUGUCAGAAUCUAGAUCAUCUGAUGAUGACACUCCCGCAACACCUGUAACCGAGGAACCAUCGAGGAAGUAAAGGCCCCGCUCCAAAUUACCACGUAUCACAGUCAAAGCACCCGAGAAUACCUUGAGAACUCCACCUUCAGCAGAGUACCGAAAGCCUUUCUUGUCCAACGUACUCAAAGAGAUCAAAUUUUUCUUCAUUUCUGGAAUGUGCCGAACAUCAGUUAGAGUUCUAACAAUACCGUCAAACAUCUUUAUACAAACUGUGCCAAUCCCCAUGACUUGACAUGCGUGGUCAUUUCCCAUUAGUACUGAACCAGAAUGCUUCUCGUAUGUUGAGAAUGCAUCUUUCGAAGUACUUAUAUGAAAUGUAGCUCCCGUAUCAAGAAUCCAUCUCCCACCAGCGUAAGAGUCGGAUACUGCAAGAACGAUCUCGGCAUCACUUGAAGAAUCUGCAUCAGCUACAUUCGCACGAUCAUUUUGUUGCUCCUGUGAUUCUGAUUUCUCCUUCCUUUUCGGACAAUCUACCUUCAUGUGCCCGUACUUCUUACAGUAGUAGCACUGUAUUCUCUUCUUGGACUGCGAUCUAGGAUGGCUUUUACUUGAACUUCCACCCUUUGCCUUGGAUCUUCCUCGAGCAACCAAGCCUUCGCCUUCAUUGUUUUCGACCACCUUACCAGUGAUUUUCUUCCUCAACUCACUGGAACUUAAGGCAUUUUUCACCUCCUCUAGAGUCAGGUCAUCACGACCGUACAUCAUUGUAUCAACAAAAUUCUCAUACGAGGGAGGCAAAGAACACAAAACAAUUAUUGCUUGGUCCUCAUCAUCGAUUUUGUUAUCGAUAUUAUUCAAAUCCAUGAUAAUGGAAUUGAAUUUAUCCAGGUGCUGGGAAACAGGUGUACCUUCCUCCAUCUUCAGGGCAUAGAGUCUUUGCUUGAGGUAGAGCCGGUUCGUCAAUGACUUCGUCAUGUACUUGCUUUCUAACCGGAGCCACAAACCGGACGCGGUUUUCUCAUCCGCUACUUCUCGUAGCACUUCAUCUCCUAGACAUAGCAGAAUAGCACUAUGUGCUCUUUCUAGCAUGUCAUCCUUUUGCUCUUCCGAAAGCGUGCUUGGUAAUUUAUCUUUACCAGACAAUGCUUUUAGCAAUCCUUGUUGAACCAGCACUGCCCGCAUCUUGAUGCGCCAUAAACUGAAACUAUUUUUCCCGGUAAAUUUCUCGACAUCAUACUUAGUCGAUGAAACACUUGUAGCCAUAAUUUGGAACCUUUGAAUGAAUGAUAAUAUUUUCUUCCUGAUGUGAAAGAUCAGACAAAGCUGCAGUCACAGGGCAAUUCAGAAAAUAUUAUCACUCCUUCAACUACGCUCUGAUACCAAUUUGUUGCGGAAAGGAUCGAUUCGAGAACUCCGAUAUGACUACAAGUAAAUUGACCGAAACGAAAAAUAAAGUGAACACAAGGAUUUACGUGGUUCGGCUUUAAUGCCUACGUCCACGGGCAGAGGCGAAAAGAAAUUUCACUAUAACAAGAUGAAGAUUACAAGUGUUUUACACUCAAGACACAACCCGAGAACCUCACAACUCUCAACCCCUAUAGAAAACCCGAAAGCUAAAAUCCUAGCUUUCAAAGAACAAGCUUUGCUCUCUCUUGGUUUGGGAUGAUCAAUAUGGCUAAUGAACCUCUCUAUUUAUAAGAGAGUUCAAGGACAUAAUUGUCCAAAACUUUGGCAAAGAUUUGUGGUUGAAAAUGGACACCAACAACCAUCCACUAAUCCACUACCACCAACAACCCACUACCAACAACAACAAUCCACUACCAAUUUUAAGCCAUUUCUUAACAAUAGUCAAGUAGCCCUUCAGAGAGUAGCCAAUGUAUUCCAUGAACAAACUAAGCACAUAAAAACUGAUUGUCACUUUGUUCGGGAGAAAAUCAAAGGGGGGUUGGUUAAAACACAACACAUAUGCAUCAGUGAGCAAAUAGCAGGCUUAAUGACAAAGGCCCUCGGUGUGCAUCAGCAUGAGUAUUUGCUGUCCAAGUUGGGAGUCAAAGAUCUUUAUCACCCUCCAACUUGAGGGGAAGUGUUAAAGAUACUGGUAAUUGGGUGAAUAAUAGAAAAAUCUUUGUAGUAGUUAGAUUAGUUACUAGUUAAUAGUUAGUUGAACAUAUGCUAUAAAACAUCUUACUAUUGUAAUUUAAGAAUGAAGCAGUAUACUUUUCAUUCAGAUACAAUACUGGUCUAACUUGUAGUUCAUCAUUGUUGGACAUCUCCGACACUUUCAAUAUAUAUAUUUGUAAUUAUAUUCAAUUUUUUUAAAAAGAAAAACUGGUAUUGGAUAUUUGGUUUGCCAAAGUAAGAAUAUACUAUCAAGUUAUUUUGCUGGUAUUUUGUAAGGCUUAGCAAUCAAAUAUAGUAGCUUACUAAUAAAACCCGUUGAAAUCAUUAAACUGGAAUUUGGAACUCAUGCAAGCUUUGGAUAGCAAAUGAAAAAAAUUACCUCUAAUCUCAUUAAUGCAUGAAACAGGAUAAUGUUGAUGAUUAAUUUAACAACUAGGAUUUAUUUUAUUAUGAACGUCUUCCACGUAGUUUUUUAAUUUUUAUUUAAUUACUUAUAAUUUUACUUAAUUGUCGGUAUCACAGAUAAAGAAAUAUCAAUUUAAUUUGAGAAUUUUAUUUAGAAUUCGAAUGGAUUUUUUAUUUGGUAAAUAAAUUUUAAAAGAAAAUUUAAAAAAGAAAAACUAACAACCGAAAAUUCCAUCCAACCAAAUUGAAGAAUUUUAAUUCAAUUAAUUUGAUUUUAACAAUAAAUUAAUUGGAUUAAUAAGUUUUAAUGACUUAUUCAAUUUAGAUUUUUGAAAGAAUUUAUUAAAUUAUUUAUAUAUAAAAAAGGAAUUGACGAACCCACCCAAUAUACGCUUUCAAGUUUCACUCUCCCUUUCAUCUAGAGUUCACAGUUCUAGAGGUGCUCAUGGGCCGGGCCGAGUCCAGAAAAUUUUUUUGGCCCGUGUCCUAGGCCCAGGCCCGGUCCAAGAAAAAUUCCUAAGCCUAAGCCCGGCCUGACCCGACCCGACCUAUAUUUUAAUAAACACCAAUUUCUUUUAAAAAAUAAAAAUAUUUUAAAAAUAUUUUAAAAAUAAAAAAAGUAUUUUAAAAAUAAAAAAUAAAAAUAUAUAUUUAUUAUAUUCGGGCUGGGCCGGGCCCAGGCCAAAAAAGUGGUGCCCGAGGCCCGGCCAAUUUUCUAAACGGGCUUCAUUUUUUCCCAAACCCAUAUUUCGGGCCUAUAUUUUUACCCGAACUCUCUCAUAUUUCGAGCGGGCCGUCGGACCGGGCCAGGUCGCCCGGCCAUGAGCACCUCUAGUUCACACUAGCAAUGCCUCUAUUAGAGAAUAGGAGUUGUUAGUUAGUUAGUGAGUCUAGUAUGGUUGUUGCUCAAUUCAGAGUAGUCACUAAAGUCUAUAAAUACUGUACAUUAAGAAUUCAGAAGCAAGCAAGUUUGAAUAAACAAACAAGAAGUUUAUUCUAUUAUUUUCUCCAUUUCACUCUCUGUCUGGAUAGAUAUUUCUUCCUUUUUAUCUAGUUCUUUCAUGGUAUCAUUCGCCAAUUGAUUCUAGUUAUUGUUUCUCAUGGCUUCUGCUGAUUCCGCAUUUGGUGAACCUAGCUCUAGUGUGUUUGCUGCCGAUCGAGUCACAACCGUUCUUCCUCGACAUGAAGUGGUCAAACUCGAUGAAGGUACUUAUCUUCAAUGGCGUAAACAGGUAAAACUGAUUGUUAAUGGCUAUGGACUCAUAGGUUUCUUAGAUGGCACUGUUGCUCCGCCAUCACGAUUCGUUAUUCUAUCCGAUGGCUCUCGUGCUCCAAAUCCGACGGCUCAGGUGUUUACGCAGCAAGAUCAGCUGCUGAUGUCCUGGCUUUUGUCUACUGUAACUUCCUCUCAUCAAUCCUCCUUUGAUGAUACUUGCACGGCGUGCGACAUAUGGAGUAUGGCCAUUAAUCUUUUUGCAGUUGAUACGGGCGCCAAGUAGUCGAGGAUUCGGCAUGAGCUUCACUCGUAGAAGAAAGGUAAUCUUUCUAUUAAGGCAUAUGUUGCUCGGAUUAAAGAUUUGUGUGCUAUGUUAGAUGCUUUUGGCUCUCGUAUCUCCGAUGAAGAGAAGAUUAAAGUGGUGCUUGCGGGUUUACCGUCGAACUUUGAGGCAGUUAUCUCCUCUGCUCGAUUGUCGCCUGGAGUUUUUCCGUUACAACGUUUGGUGGAUGCGUUAGUCGAUUGUGAGAAUCGCCAAGAUCGAGUGUUGCAGGAGGUAAGUUUGAACGCGAAUCUUGUUCAAAAUGAGCCGUCGAUGGAAGGGGCCGGUCGUGAAGGCCGUGCGUCUGUUCGUGGUCGUGGUCAAUUCUUCAAAUCUCGUGUUCAAUGCCAGAUCUACAGUCGAUUCGGUCAUGUGGGUUAGAAAUACUAUUAUCGGUAUCACCGAGACUCGAAUGAAUCAUCUGGUGUUGAAGGUUCUGAUUCUGGAGUUUUUGUGCAAAAUGGUGAAGACCAGGUGGUGGCUCCUUAUCAGAAAAGUCAAAGAGUUUUUUAUGGUCAAGGGAGUCAUGGUGGUCAAAAUAGAUAUGCUAGUCAAAAUGUGUGUGCUGGCAUGCAAAAUAGGUCAUUGGCACGUGGGCCACAUGUGUCUAAUGCACAACAUUAUGCCUACAAGCCCAAUUUGUGCAAAUUCGGUCAUGAUGAAGGGCAAGGAUAUAAUGGAGACACGUCACAUGGUUUUACUACUGGAAAUGGACAGUGGCAAGGUUAUAAUGGAAACAAGUCACAUGGGCCAAAUAUUCAACAUUCCUCUCAUGGGCCGCAUGUUCAAUUUAAUGCUGGGCCGAAUAUUGUACCAUCCUCUAAUUUUGUUCAAGUUGAUCAAUAUGAUCCUGGCUCACCUGAACCGAUUGGUGAUGGACUAGGUAUUGGUGGUCCGGUUCUGCGAUUUACCAAACCGCGUGCUCAGGCCUAUACUGGGUCUGACUCAUGUAUUGGGCUUCCUCAGCUAUGGGACUUACAUGCGUCUGAUUAUUCUGAUCCUUCAGUAUCAGGCUCUCAUGUUAAUACUGCUCAACUUGGAUCUAGUACUGGUAAUGAUGAUUCGUGCAUUCUAGUGUGCGGUGGCACCACAUCUUGGUAUCCUGACUCGGGAGCGAGUCAUCAUGUCUGUCGCGAUGUGUCAAUUUUACGUGAUGUCACGCCAUAUUCAGGUAAGUCAUCUUUUUUAAUGGGCGAUGGUACUCUUGCGGUAAUUUCGUCAAUUGGUACUGCUAUUUUACCUACUCAAUAUAAAUCGUUACGGUUAUCAAAUGUUUUAUGUGUGCCAAGUAUACGGAAAAACCUCUUAUCCGUCUCACAGUUUGCUCGUGAUAAUGGUGUGUUUUUUGAGUUUCACCCUACCUAUUGUGUUAUUAAGGAUACGGUGACUCAGGAGAUAUUGCUGACAGGCCGUAUUCAUGAUGGUCUAUAUCAGUUUUCUCUGCCAGUGGUUUCUACUUCGCCUACGACUGCUCCAUUUGUUCCUCAUUCGCAAGUUCCACAUACAGUUUCGACUACUUCUGUGUUUGCUUUAUGGCAUAAUCAUUUAGGCCACCCGUCGACUUCUGUGGUCAAAAAUAUUCUAAAUAAAUGUAAUGUUGUUUCAAAUAAAACUAGUUUGGAUGGUAUAUGUAUUGCAUGUCAAAAAGGCAGGUCACAUAAGUUGCCUUUCUCCCCUUCGACUAGUAGCUAUCGUCCUUUUGAGUUGGUUGUGUCUGAUCUUUGGGGUCCUACACCUGUUGCUUGUGGUGAUAAGAGAUAUUAUGUUUCAUUUAUUGAUAUGUGUACUAGGUUUACUUGGGUUUAUCUUUUACGUUAAAAAGCUCAAGCACUAGAAUGCUUUACUCAAUUUUAACAAUUGAUUACAACACAGUUUGGCAAGUCUAUUAAGCAGUUCCAAAGCGAUUGGGGAGGUGAAUACCGUGGUUUUACGUCUGUCUUAGAAUCUCAAGGGAUCAUACAUCGACUGACCUGUCCGUGUACUUCAGAACAAAAUGGAGUAGAUGAGCGUAAACAUCGUCACAUUGUUGAAAUGGGUAUUACAUUGUUGGCUCAUACAAAUUUGCCUAUGGAAUACUGGGGGUAUGCGUUUUGUUGUGCGGUUCAUCUUAUAAAUCGACUUCCUACUGUUUUACUUCAUGAUAGUUCUCCGUUUAAGGCACUAUAUGGAAGUGACCUGACCUAUGAACAUCUUCGAGUGUUUGGCUGCUGUUGUUAUCCUUACUUACGUCCGUUUGUAGGUCAUAAGUUGGAAUUUCAGUCUCAGUCGUCUACGUUUUUAGGCUACAGUCCUCAUCACAAAGGGUAUCAAUGUCUUUUACCAGAUGGUAAGGUUAUAAUUUCAAGGCAUGUGGUCUUUGAUGAGCAAAGAUUUUUGUUUGCUGAGACUAGUCCAGACAAGUCUGUAUCGACAACCAGUCAGACUAGUUCGACGGUUGUUCCUCUCGUGUGGCCAUCCUAUUCCUCAAAUCUUGAGCCUUGCAUGAUGACACCGUCUUUACAAGGGUUGCAGUCUCAGUCCACUGAUCCUGUAUUAGAUGUUAAUUUGGAGCAUCCCCAGUCUCAUGAUUCUUCAGCUGAUGUUGGGACUGGGUCGGGUAAUCUUCCAGCAGUGCAUGGCUCAGGAUCAUCAAGUGAUACCAAUGCUCACUCCCAUUCUACUAUGAGAAUGUCUACAGGUGUUUCGUCGGCAUCUGAUAGUCAGAUUAGUCGGACACCUGUAGGCAAACUCACCCAAUGGUCACUCGAGCUAAAGAGGGAGUUUACAAGCCUAGGGUUUUAAAUGUUGAAGCUGUUGAACUGACUACAAUUGAAGAAGCCUUGGCUACUAUUGAGUGGCGUGCUGCUGCGCAAGAUAAGUAUGAUGCUCUUAUGCAUAAUUCCACAUGGGAGCUAGUUCCUGCUCCGUCUAAUCGUAAGGUCAUUGGGUGCAAAUGGUUGUUCUGAAUCAAGAAGAAUUCUGAUGGUACUAUUGCUCGACAUAAGGCUCGAUUAGUUGCAAAAGGCUACUCUCAAGUUCCAGGUUGUGAUUUUAAGGAAACGUUUAGUCCAGUGGUCAAACCGGCUACUAUCAGAGUUAUUUUGUCUAUUGUUGUGUCUAGAGGGUGGUCGCUUCGGCAAGUGGAUGUGAAUAAUGCGUUUCUAAAUGGCGAUCUUGACACUGAAGUUUUUAUGCAUCAACCUCCCGGUUAUGUUUAAUAUGGCUCAGAUGGCAGACCUUUGGUGUGCCGUCUGAAGAAAGCGUUGUAUGGUCUUCGUUAGGCUCCUCAUGCCUGGUUUGAGAAGCUAAAAGGAUUUCUAGUCUCUGUGGGGUUUGUGGUUUCAAAGUCUGAUGCUUCCUUAUUUGUUCGAGUUGUGCCAGCUUCAACAUUGUAUGUUCUUGUGUACGUUGAUGAUAUUAUUAUUACUGGUGAUGUACCUUCUCUUAUAGAGUGGUUUGUUAAAUUGCUGAAUAGUGAGUUCUCGCUUAAGGACAUGGGUGAUCUCUAUUAUUUUCUUGGGAUAGAAGUUAUUUGUUCUUCGUUAGGUUGCCUUCAUCUUUGUCAGAAGAAGUAUAUACGUGAUAUUCUUAUACGUUGUUUGAUGGAAAAUGCGAAGAGUGUUCAUACACCGAUGGUUAGUUCCUCUAUUAUGACUAGAGAUGGUGGUGAGCAGUUAGAGGAUCCGACUGAAUACAGGAGUCUUGUAGGAGCAUUACAGUAUGUCACUCUUACGUGGCCUAAUGUUGCCUAUGCUUUAAAUAGAAUAUGUCAGAUUAUACAUUGUCCUACUUCCAUUCAUAUGACCGCUCUGAAGCGCAUUUUGAGAUAUCUAGGUGGAACGAUUGAUUUUGGGAUUGUGUUUCGUCUGUCCACCGUUUUGUCCUUAGAUGGAUAUGCUGAUACAAACUGGGGAUUAGAUUUUGAUGACCGGAGAUCCACUACUGGAUACUGUGUUUAUUUCGGACAUACACCUGUGUCGUGGUGUACGAAGAAACAACAGGUUGUUGCUCGGUUUACUGUUGAGGCAGAAUAUCGAAGACUUGUCGCAGUUACUAGUGAGGUUACGUGGCUUUUAUCGUUACUUCAAGAAUUACAUGUUCAGUCUAAUAGUAUUCCCAAUAUUUGGUGUGACAGUUCUGGGGCAGUUGCGGUUGCUGCUAUCCUGUUCUCCAUUCAAAGUUUAAGCAUGUUGAGUUAGAUUUAUUUUUUGUUCGUGAGAAGGUUGCUGAUGGUCCUGUUGCCAUUGGCGAGGUUCCAGCGUGUGAUCAGGUAGCUGAUGUUCUCACUAAGCCACUUUCCCUAUCGAGUUUUACUCAUUUUCGGAGUUUUCUACGGGUCUUGCCUGUGGAGAAGAUGGAUGAAUAUUAGAGAAUAGGAGUUGUUAGUUAGUUAGUGAGUCUGGUAAGGUUGUUGCUCAAUUCAGAGUAGUCACUAAAGUCUAUAAAUGCUGUACAUUAAGAAUUCUGAAGCAAGCAAGUUUGAAUAAACAAACAAGAAGUUUAUUCUAUUAUUUUUCUCCAUUUCACUCUCUGUUUGGAUAGAUAUUUCUUCCUUUUUACCUAGUUCUUUCAGCCUCAAAUGCACCUUUUUUUUUCAAUUGAUAUUAGUUAAAUUACCGUGAGACUAUCUAAAAAUAGAAGUUUUAAAUAAAACUUAUAAAUCUUAUCAUAUUGUGAAACAAAAAUUAGAAUAUAAAUAUAACGUAUUUACUAGAAAUGACAGGUAUAACAAAUCAAAUAUCUGUAUUUCCUGGAUUAUAUAAAUGUAAAUCCAUAAAUCUAUUAUUCGCAAAUUAUUCGGGUAUUAUUAUUUAAAUACAAAUCUAGAUCAUAUAUACUAUUGUAAUAUAAUGUUACAAAAAAUUAAUAAUAAUUGUAAUGCCUAAAUUUUGCCCGGGUACAAAUAAUAAAAGGGCCCCAAAUAAAGACACAGUCCAAUUACAACAAAAUGGGGCCCAAACCAAAAUAAAACACAGGCCCAAUGUGCGGUGGCCCAAAAUCGCCAGAAACCCUAGGGUUUCUAAUCUUCAACAGCACCGCAACUCCAAUCUAGGCCGAAUCUCCAUGGAUUCACCUGCAUAGCAAGAAACAGAGAAAAAGGAAAGAAAUCAAAGAUUUCGAACCAGGAGUGAUUAGUUUCUUUAUUUUUAUUUUAUUAUGGCUAUAAGAAGCCGGUAAACAUAUUGUAAUAAGGAUUGAAAAAUCAAAUAAAAAUCGAGGCUUUUACUUUCGCAAUACAGAGAGAGCAUAGUCGAUUAAAGGUUGAUACUUGCAUUUCUAUUGUAUUUUUCCGUUAUAUCUAUUUGUUUUUAUUAUUUAUGUAAAUAAUAUAAAUAUAAAAGGAAGGAAAAAACCUGUAUUAGAGCCCUAACUGCCGCAGAUGGCCGAGGAAGUCGUCACCGAGAAUUGACGACCGGAAGCCGAAAGGUUUCUCUGUUUUUAGGGGCCCUUUCGUUAAUAUUUUGCGAGAUUUGAGAUCGGAUCUAGGCUCAGGGGUCGAGAAGGUUAAAAGGGGAAUUUUCCCCUUUCCCGGCCACCGCGGACGGUGGUGCCGGUGCCGGAGAUCGGCGACCGGUGCCGUGGCCGGUGAAGGGCCGAUGACCAACCGAUGGCCGAAGGACGGACUGAGGGGAGAGUGUUGCUUUAAAGUUUUUUUGUUUUUUUUUAAAAAGGGUUUCAUAUGAUUUUUUUUUUAGGAUUGGGAUAUUUAUAGGGCACCAAAACGGCGUCGUUUUGGAGAGCCCCCAGACGCCCAAAACGGCGUCGUUUUUAGGGAAGCCGACCCGGCUCCGACCCGACCCGGCAUAGGAUCCGCGUGUUUUUUUAACGGAGGGGUAAAUUGCACUUUCAACCCCUCCGCCUUUUAAUGUUUUCUGCAAUUAAAUUUUUUUAUUUUAUUAAGUUACCCAUUAAUUUAUUAUCGUUUUCAAUUUGGUCCUAAUGUGAAUGAUGUCGUUUAGAGGAGAAUGGAAAAUUGCCCUUCCAGCCCCUUUGUAUUAUCUGCGCGUUCAAUGUGGUCCCUUUGGCUUUAUUUAUUUGUGGAUUUACCUUAAUUUUUUUUAUUUGAAAUUCAAUUUAGUUCUCUUUUAUAUCUUUCUUAAAAUUGGUUGAUUUUUAGGAUGUAAUUAUUAUUUUUAUGUAAUUAUUAUUUAUAUAUAUAUGUAUAUUUAUUGUUUCCUUAUAAACAUAUUUAUUUUCUUUCAACUAAUAUUUUUUUAUUUAUAUAUUCCUACUUUUUUUAUGUAAAUGUUAAUUAAUCCUUUUUUAAUAAAUUUUACAUGUAUACAUACAUAUAUUUUUUUGAAUAUUCUAUUAUAUUUUCAUAUAUCUACGUACAUUUUUUAUUUUCGAAAAUACUAAAAUACAUGUUUUUUUUACACAUAUAUUUAUAUAUAUUUGUUUUUCUUUAUUUUCAUAAGAGCAUUAUAUGAAUUUUAUAAUUAAAAUUUUAUAUGUAAAUUAUGUACUUUAUUUCUCAUAAUUCCAAUGUGUAUAUUAUGCGAUGUUUAUCCUUUAUUGUUUCUUUCAUUUGUUUAUUGACCUUUUUUUAUUUUAUAUUUUGUUCAUUUAUUUAAUAUUCUUGUAUGUCAAAGAUUAUUUCUUUUAUGAAUGUUAGUUUCCUUUAUUUAUAUGUUUAUAUUGUUUCUAUGCCAUUGUGAUAAUUAUUAUUGCAUUGUAUAUUUAAUGUAGCAUCACAUCAUUUUUUACUCGAUUUCAAACUUCUCAAAAUUGAGAUAAUGCUUGUAUUUUGGAUUUUCAAGGAAAUUGAGCCCUAAUGUAUUGGGUUCCGAUUUUCUUCGUUAAAUCUAAGAAUCGAGCAUUUCUCUUUAAUCAAAAAAAAAAAGAACUCAUUAUUGGGAAUUCAACACGUUGUGUCCUAACGUAUUGGAUGUGACGCAUUGAUUUCUCGAAAUAAAUAUUUUUUAAAAAAAUAAUAAAGGAAAUAUUCCGAGUUUGGGAUUCUAGAGGAAUUGUGCCCUAACGUAUUGGGCCGCGAUUUCUUAAAUCUUGAAUAAAUGGAUAUUCUUUUACAUUUUUUAUUGCACUAGUAUUUUGCCCUAAUUCAUUUUUGGGGAAAAUUAGAAUGUCGUGCCCUAACGUAUUGGGUGUGGUAUUUUCUUUCUCUGAAAUGAUAAGGGUCUUAAUACGUAACGUUUUUAAGUUUUUUGCUAAGGAUUAUAUUAUUCAAAUUUUUGACAUUAAAACAUUAAUUAAUUAACUAGGUACCAAUUUUUGGACGUAAUGAGGGUGCUAAUCCUUCCUCAUACGUAACCAACUCCCGGACCCGUUUUUCUAAAAAUCGUAGACCAAAAUCGUUUUUAGGUGACCCAAUCACACCUCAAUAAAAGAUUGGUGGCGACUCCCAAUUUUCAUUUUUUAAAGUCGACAAUCUAAAAUUUUUGUUUUUUUUUCAAAAACAAAAAAUGGUUUCGACAGCUUGGCGACUCCACUGGGGACACAUACGAGAGUCGAGCCACAAAGUUGAUUAAUUUCUGUCUUAUUGUCGAGAAAAUAAAUUUUUAAAAAACUCAUGAUAUCCUUUCGCAUUCAUUAUCUUAUUGCUUAAAUAUUGUUUGCAUUAUACAUUUCAUGAGUUGAACAAUUUUACCCUUUUAAGUGGGAGUGAGAAGCUAUGCCUUCAUGAGGUUUUCACCUCCGUGUAGGGUAGUGGAUUGCUUCCGGGAUACAUCCGUACCUAUUUCUUCGUGAGAUUUUCGUCUCAGUACAACCAUAGGGAAAUGUAUUCCACUGAACCGAACUUGAUCCAUUGAGCCUAUAAUGGGUGAGGAUUGAGGAAUCUGCUGGUUCGGGUACCUUUACCCUAGAAGUCAAACUUCAUAUAAUGAACCUUAGGAAUCCACCCUAGGUAGAACUAUACUAAACCCUAGUAGAUAUCCAAUUAGGAAUUUUACUAUUUCUUAAUUAUAUAUUAUGUUUUAUGAGAUACUGACUUUUUGUGUUUUAUUUUGAUUGCAUGACAUGGCAUUUCAUUUCAUCAUAAAAGGCGUCAGUCUAUAUUCAGUUGCUAGAUAGAAGGCUUAUCAUGGAAAGAGGGUUUCUUGAUAAAGAGGAGGACAAUGCGGCUGUCCGAACUUGGUCUAAAACAACACAGGAAGAAAAGGGUGAUAGUUUGGCUGACGGGCAUGUAUCGGAUGUAUGGGACUUUACGCAUAUCAGUGUAACUCAAAACAAUUUGCAAGAAUUGAAGGAAAUCUGGGGUUAGUGGAGUGAUGAGGUUAGACAGCUCUUUUAUAAUGAUUAUGGGGAUCUACCUUAUUUGCUUGAUGUGAAGGUAGACAAGUGUUUGUUUCAAGCCCUCGCCCAAUUCUGGAAUCAUGCUUACAGCUGCUUUACGUUUGGGAAGGUUGAUUUUGUAUCUACGAUAGAGGAGUAUAUGGAUUUACUCCGUUGUUCAAAGUUUCAAGUGGAUAGGGUCUAUUUAAGAGUGGUAAAUGUGCCAAGAGUGUAACAGGAAUGAGUGAGCAGUGGGUUGUCGCACGAAUUAAGCAAAAGGGGGAUAGUAAGUGCGUUCCUUGGAGAGGCUUGAAAGAUGCAAUUCUCACACACCCAGAUGUAAGGAAAAUGUUAGAUGUUUUUGCUUUAAGUAUAUACGGCUUGGUUGUCUUCCCUAAAGCCUUGGGGUAUGUGGAUGAAGCAGUCACUGAUAUAUUCGAUCGUCUCGAUAAGAAGGUUACACCGAUUCCAGCAAUUUUGGCAGAAACUUUCAGUUCAUUGAGUGCAUACCGGAAGACGGGCGAAGGUAGAUUUAUUGGAUGUGCACAGCUUCUACUCGCAUGGUUUCAUAGUCACUUUUGGAAGGUGGAUAAAGUUUCCUAUCGGGUUUUCUCUAAAAAUUAUUCACCACUAAAGGAGAUAGUCGUUACGCCAAGGAGAGACGACAUUUCGAAGGAGAAGUGGAUGGCAAUUCUUCAAAAUCUUCGAGAGGAGGACAUUGAGUGGAGAGCUCAUUGGUUACUUCCAGAUGAGAUCCUGUAUAGGUGUGGUAGUUUUCGUACAAGGAUGAUGGUUAUAGAAAGAAGAUUCAAUAGAUGGCUAGUGCGUGGAAACAAACUCGCCGAAUGAAGAGGCUAGCUGUGGGUCCAAUAACAACUCCUGAGUAUCAUCAAUGGUGGGCUAGAAGGAUUAAUGAUAAUACACCUAAGUUAAAUCAGGAAGACAGUCAGUCAAUCGAAGAGCAUUUGCGAGUCAUUCCUUCUGAGUUAGAAAUCAUAAGGAAAGAUUUUGAGAGGAGAAAUGCGGAUUUAAAGAAAAAGAUAGAGCAAAUGGAGGCGGAAAAGACGAAUUUAAGAUUAGAUAUAAACGUUCAGAAGCUUGAAAAUGAGAAGUUAAAGAAAGAGAAAAACAAGGCUGAGGAAGAGAUGGGUAGUCUAAAGAUGGAUUAUAAAAAAUGCGUUUGUCAAUGAGAAUUACUGGGAUGGGAAAGACUUCAGAACAAUGGUGAGCAGAAAUCCGAGAUGAAAAGGACAAAGCCGAUAGAUGGGAACAGAAAUGUCAGGAGAUGCAGAGACGAACUGAAGAUUUAGAAAAGAGUUUGUCAGAAAGCCAAAAGGAGAAAUGCGAGCUAAAGGAUAGGGUGGUUGUGCUGGAAGGAUGUCUUCGUCAAUAUCGAAAUCGAAAUUUGGCAAAAAAGUUGAAAGCUAGCUUGAACAAGAUUGAAGAAAUGAAGAAAAGAAUCGAAGAGCUAGAAACGGAGCUGCAAAAUUGUGAGAUCUAGAUCAAGCACUUGAAAGCAAACGAGAGUCGUAAUAAUGAACAGCUUCAUCACUUUCAGAGUCAAGUUAGAAGGAGAGAUCAUCUUAUCGAGGAAGCUGUGGUCCAGAUUCGAGAAGUAGCUGAUCAUAUACAGACUUUAGCAGUACAGGCUGACACGCUGAGUGUAAAGUAUGAAUUAGAAUCGGAUCGGGGACAAGAAUUAGCUUUGUUACUUAGAAAGAUUAGAGUUCUAAGUACUAGGGCAGAGUCUUAUUUGUAAUUCACUUUAUGUAAAGGAAUUUAAUUUCUAGUAAAGUUUUCUUAUAUGGAAUUGAAUCAAAAUUGACGCCUUUCUGCAUUCAUUUCAUGCAUUACAUUGUUUCAUAUGCAUUAAGAAAUAUAUUAAGGGAUUCUAAUUAAUUUUAAUCACUCAUCAGUUAAUCUGGAAACCAACCAACCCACCAAGCACCACUACGGUACCCAAUCGAAAACUAAAGAUAUGGAUCAAAAUAUGGAAAUACUAGAACAAUCCCAAAAAGAAAUGCAGGAGCAGCUUCAAAAGCAAAUGAAUGAGCAGCAAAAGAUGGUAGACAAAAUGAUGGAAUCUCAAGGGAGUGUGAUGGCUCAGUUAACUCAGUGGUUCAGCAAAGGAACUGAUAAAGGAAAAGGCUUUGUGCUCAAUAUUGAAGAAGGAGACAAUGAGAGACCUAUCUAUCCUCCGGACUUUACCCUCCAACAAGUUGAGAUAUACCUACGUAGGUCCUCUGUUACCAUUAAUCCUCCAGGUGACGCUACAACGCUAAUGAAUCUCCAAGCAGGAUCAGGCUCUAACCCUAGAGCCAACUUUGUUAAUCCUGCUAUUCCUGAUUUCGAUGAGACGGCUGGAAAGGAGAAAAUGAAUGAUGAAUUGCCAAAACAGCUAGAGGAAAAGUACAAAUGGCUGGAAGAGAAAUUUAGAGUGAUGGAAUGCGCAGAAGGCUACUAUAGGAUGGAUGCUAAAGAAUUGAGUCUGGUUCCGGAUUUAGUGCUCCCUUACAAAUUCAACAUGCCAGAGUUUGAAAAAUAUAAUGGAACCAGUAGCCCCGAAGCUCAUAUCACCAUGUUCUGCAGACGAAUGACCAGUUAUGUCAAUAAUGACUAACUCUUGAUUCAUUGCUUCCAGGAUAGCCUCACAGGGGCAGCAUCCAAGUGGUACAAUCGAUUGAACCGUACCCAGAUUAAUUCAUGGAAAGAUUUGGCACAGGCGUUCAUAAAGUAGUACAGCCAUGUGACUGACAUGGUACCUGAUAGGAUCACUCUGCAGAAUAUGGAAAAGAAACCAGGUGAAAGCGGGAAAAUAAAUGUUGGAGAAAGUAGUAGAAGGGCGGCAUCAAAGAAGAAAGAGAAUGAGGUCAACAACACAAGUUCAUAUUCAAAGACAGUUACAGUGAAUCAGCCGGGAAAAGUGGCUGUUAACCAGCAAGGAUUAUCAAAGCAGAGAUUUCAUACAAGACAAAAUACAGAGAAGAUUCAAUUUACGCCAAUUCCAAUGAUGUAUAGGGAGCUAUAUUAGAAUCUAUUCAAUGCACACGUGGUUUCCCCUUUCCACUUGAAACCUCUGCAGCCCCCAUACCCCAAGUGGUACGAUGCAAAUGCACAGUGCGACUAUCACGCGGGAAUUGAAGGGCAUUCUAUAGAACAUUGUAUGGCGUUCAAGAAGCUGGUGGAAAGACUUAUAAGCCUGGGUGUGGUUAAAUUGGAUGAUUCACCUAGUACAGAAAAUUCGUUACCUAAUCAUAACGGAGUGAACAUGAUAAGUGAGAGUAUGGGUAGAAAAAUCAAGGAAGACAUAGAAGAAGUAAAAAUUCCUUUGAGGUGGGUAUGGAGAAAUAUGGUAAAAAGGGGAUUGAUUGUUCCGAAUUCAGAGGGAAGCUUUGAAAGGAUGGAAAAUUACUGUGAGCUCCAUCACAAGGAGGGACAUGAAAUCCAGGAAUGCACUGAAUUCAGAGCCCUGGUUCAAGGCCUGAUGGAUAAUAAAGAAAUGGAAUUUUGUGAGGAAGUUAGGGAGGAAGGGAGUAUUUGCACAUCCAAAUCCUCGAAGGUUCCAAGAGUAGCGCAGCCUGUGGUCAUCAUCUCACGACCAAAGAAGGAUGAAGUGAGAACGCCAAUGAUGCCAAGAAUCAUAAUAAAGAAACAUGCAACCUUCUUUUACCAGGACAGUAGGAAGGUUCCAUGGAGCUACAUGUGCAAUACAACUGUCCCUGGAAAAGAGACUACAAAGGACCAGUGUGUGAGUGCCAAACUAGAAUCUAUGAAAGGGGUCAUAAUAGGGGAGUAGAAAGGGAAAGUAGUUGAGCCAGUAAAGGAGGAAGAAGCUGUGGAAUUCCUCAAAUUUCUGAAGCAUAGUGAGUAUAAUGUCGUCGAUCAGUUGCAUAAACAACCGGCUCGCAUAUCUGUACUAGCCUUACUCUUGAAUUCAGAAGUACAUCGAAAUGCACUAAUGAAGAUGCUAAAUGAGACUUAUGCGUCCAAGGAUAUUUCUGUCGACAAACUAGAUCGGUUGGUCAAUAAUAUCAGUGCUGAUAAUUUCAUAUUUUUCAAUGAUGAUGAAAUACCUCCUAGGGGCAUAGGAUCUACCAAAGCUUUGCAUAUCACUGCACGAUGCAAGGGGCAUAUUUUGCCAAGAGCACUGAUUGACAACGGAUCAGCUUUGAAUGUAUUGUAGUUAUUCACACUUAAUAGGCUACCCAUAGACAGUUCGCACAUGAAAACAUGUCAAAAUGUAGUUAGGGCGUUUGACGGUACAGAAAAGAAGGUCAUGGGAAGAAUUAAGAUACCCCUACAGAUUGGCCCAACAGUUUAUGAGGUAGAUUUUAUUGUAAUGGACAUCAAACCUUCCUAUAAUUGUUUAUUAGGAAUAUCAUGGAUACAUUCAGCGGGGGCAGUACCGUCAUCAUUACAUCAGAUGUUGAAGUUAGUGUCAAAUGGUCGGCUAGUGACAAUAAAAGCCGAAGAGGAUAUAAUAGCAGCUGUAUCCAAUGAGACGCCAUACAUGGAGACCAAUGACGAGUCAAUAGAAUGCUCAUUUCGAUCUUUGGAGUUUGAAAAUGCGGCAUUUGUUCCCGAAUGGAGUAAAAUUUUGGUGCCAAAAUUAUCCAAAACUACAGAGAUAGGUUUACAGUUGUUGGUGGGAAAAGGAGAUUUACCCGGAAGAGAGGGCUAGGGAGAUAUCUUCAAGGGAGGACUGAGGUUCCAAUGCUGAAAGAAAAGCAGGAUCACUUUGGCUUAGGAUACAAGCCAGAUAGAGGACAAAGAAGGAAGAAGAUAGAAAAAAGGCAGGAAAGGAGAAAGGCGCGUUUAAAUGGGGAGGAAGCUAAGUGGGAGCCAAUGAUAAUCCCCCACAUAUCCAAAACUUUCAUAUCUGGAGGAGUUAUUCAUCAUGAGAGAAAGAAAUCGGUUGAGGAAAGCAUCGAGGAGACGUUGGGAAGUAUGCACAUCAAUGCCAUUCAUGAGCAUGUGAAUGAGGAGAGGAGCUGGUUGGACAUUCGUCCUUAUGAGCCCGAGAAUGUUCCAGAUAAUUGGACUGCGGAAGAAAUACCCAAAGUCUUUAAAAAUGUCUCAGAGUAAUAUUCAGAACAAACUUGUUGUUUUAGCCUAGAAAUAACGAGAACUCUUUUGUGAAAUAGGCUUAUGUUUAAACAUCAUUAUUUUAAUAAAAUACAUCUUUGCAAUUGUUUCGAGUAAAUAUUCUUUCAUUCUUUCCAUACAAGUAAAUAUAUUCUUUCAUUGCACAAAUAAUUGUACAUAAAUUCAUACAUUCUUUUGUAAUCAUAUUAGGUCCUUGUGUAUCAACGAUGUGAAUGACGCCGCUACGAGCUCAGAAUGCCCUUUUGAACGAAACGUGUGUUUGGAAGGAUCGCACGACUUUGAAGGUGAUGAAGAUGGUGGCUUAUCUUUGGACUUGUUGAGGAUGGUGGAACAAGAGGAAAAGAAAAUCCUACCUCACAAAGAAUCAGUAGAAACUGUGAGCUUGGAAGAAAGAAAAGAGGUGAAAAUUAGAAUUGAGAUUUUUGCAAAGACAAGACGAGGCCUCAUUGAAUUACUACAAGAAUUCAAAUAUGGCUUCGCAUGGUCAUACUAGGAUAUGCCCGGAUUGAGUGCUGACAUUGUAGUGCAUCGCCUACCUAUAAAAAAGGAUUGCAAACCAAUGCAACAGAAGCUCAGAAAAAUGAGGCCUGAUAUUGUGCUCAAAAUAAAAGAGGAGGUUAGGAAACAGUUUGAUGCUGGAUUUUUGCAGGAGGUCAAAUAUUCUGAAUGGGUAGUCAACAUCGUUCCAGUCCCUAAAAAGAUGGAAAAGUACGAAUGUGCGUGGAUUACAGUGAUUUGAACAAAGCAAGUCCAAAGGACAAUUUCCUAUUGCCACAUAUUGAUACUCUGGUGGACAAUACGGCGGGAUUUUCAUUGUUUUCUUUCAUGGAUGGGUUCUCAGUAUAUAAUCAGAUAAAGAUGCAUCUGGAAGAUAUGGGAAAGACUAUGUUUAUUACUUUGUGGGGAACAUUUUGCUAUAAGAUGAUGCCAUUCGAAUUAAAGAAUGCGGGAGCAACAUAUCAGAGAGCCAUGGUAGCCUUGUUUCAUGAUAUGAUGCACAAAGAAAUUGAAGUAUCUGUUGAUGAUAUGAUUGCCAAAUCCAGAACAAAGGAAGAACAUGUGCAGGUCCUGAGAAAAUUGUUCGUAAGAUUAAGAAAGUUCCAACUCAAGCUUAAUCCGACAAAAUGCACUUUUGAAGCCAGGUCAAGAAAGUUGUUAGGCUUCGUAGUUAGCAAAAAGAGAAUUGAAAUUGAUCUAGACAAAGUCAAGGCAAUACGAGAUUUAUCGCCACCACGUACCCAGAAAGAAGUUCGAGGCUUAUUAGGAAGACUGAAUUACAUUGCUCGGUUCAUUUCACAGUUGACCGAAAAAUGUGAUCCCAUAUUUCACCUUUUGAAGAAACAUAAUCCUGAUGUUUGGAAUGAAGAAUGCUAGAGUGCCUUUAAGAAGAUAAAGCAAUACUUAACCAAUACUCUAGUUCUGUCACCACCCAGCCCAGAUAGACCCUUGAUUUUGUAUUUAAUGGUGCUCAACAACUCUAUGGGAUGCGUGCUGGGUCAACAUGAUGCGACUGGAAAGAAGGAAAAGGCGAUUUACUAUCUCAGUAAGAAAUUCACUGACUGUGAGAUGAGAUAUUCGCCUAUCGAAAAAUUGUGUUGCACCCUGAUUUGGAUGACCAAGAGGUUGAGGCAAUACUUACUCUAUCAUACGACUUGGUUAAUUUCAAAAUUAGACUCUUUGAAGUAUAUGAUGGAGUCAACAGCAUUGAAUGGAAGAAUGGCUAGAUGGUAAAUCUUGCUCUCUGAGUUUGAUAUCGUAUAUGUAAGUCAGAAGGCCAUCAAGGGGAGUGCGAUAGCAGAUUUCUUGGCUAGCAGAGCUCUGGAAGAUUAUGAGCCUCUAGAUUUUGAUUUCCCGAAUUAAGAUUUGAUGUAUGUGGCAAAUGCUGAAGAGGAUCCCCAAGAGAAUCAUUCUUGGAGAUUAAACUUUGAUGGAGCAUCAAAUGUACUAGGCAAUGGGAUUGGGGCAGUCCUGGUGUCUCCGAAUGGAGAUUAUCAUCCUUUCACCAGUAAAUUAGACUUUGAUUGCACUAAUAACAUGGCUGAGUAUGAAGCUUGCAUCAUGGGUAUACGGGCAGCCAUAGAGCGGAAAAUCAAGACAUUAGAGGUGUACGGAGACUCAACAUUAGUAAUAUACCAACUAAGAGGGGAAUGGGAGACAAGAGACCCUAAAUUGAUCCAUUAUCAGAGAUUAGUUUUGGAAUUGAUCGAAAAGUUUGACAACAUUACCUUCUGUUAUCUCCCACGGGAAGAAAAUCAGAUGGCUGAUGCUCUUGCUACUUUAGCUUCCAUGAUUAAAGUAAAUCAGUUAGAGGACAUGAAGUUCAUUCAAAGUAGUAUUUAUGAGAUCCCAGCCCACUGUUAUAGCAUUGAAGAAGUGGAGAAUGAUAAUAGUCCCUGGUACCAAGAUAUAUUGAUAUAUGUGAAGAAUCACGAAUAUCCUGAUCAGGCAACAGAGAAUGAUAAGAGGACAUUGAGGAGACUAGCUAUUGACUAUGUCUUAGAUGGGGAGAUCCUAUACAAAAGGGGAAAGGAUCGAGUACUGUUGAGAUGCGUGGACGCUAUAGAGGCUAAGGAAAUUUUAGAAGAAGUCCAUGAGGGUGUUUGUGAAUUCACCAUGGCUAGACAGAUUAUGAGAUUCGGGUAUUACUGGUCCACCAUGGAAGGAGAUUGCAUCAAUCAUUCCAAGAAAUGCCAUAAAUGCCAAAUUUAUGGGGAUAAAAUGCACGCGCCUCCUUCUCCUCUUCAUGUUAUGACUUCUCCAUAGCCUUUCUCCAUGUAGGGUAUGGACGUCAUUAGACCAAUAUCACCGAAGGCUUCUAAUGGACAUCGUUUCAUUUUUGUGGUUAUUAACUACUUCACUAAGUGGGUAGAGGCAGCCUCAUAUGCUAAUGUCAUGAAGUCAGCAGUCAGUAACUUUUUGAAGAAAGAGAUCAUAUGUCGAUAUGGAAUGCCUGAAAGGAUCAUAUCUGACAAUGCGCUGAAUUUGAAUAACAGCACAAUUCAAUAUCAGACACCAUAAUUCGUCACUGUAUUGUCCAAAAAUGAAUGGUGCAAUAGAGGCGGCCAACAAAAAUAUUAAGAAGAUUGUGGCGAAAAUGGCUGAAACUUAUAAUGAUUGGCAUGAGAAGUUACCAUUCGCUCUUUUGGCUUACCGAGCAUCGAUCAGGACUUCUAUUGGGGCAACACCUUUUUCGUUGGUUUAUGGAAUGGAGGCAGUUUUACCCAUUGAGGUUGAAAUUCCUUCUCUUCGGGUAUUGGCUGAGUUAAAAUUGGAUGAGGUCGAAUGGAUCCAAUCUCGGUACGAUCAAUUGAACCUGAUUGAAGAUAAAAGAUUAAAAGCCAUUCGUCAUGGUCAAAUGUAUUAGAAGCGAAUGAUGCGAGCUUAUAAUAAGAAGGUUCGUCCUAGAGAAUUUCAUGAAGGGGAUUUGGUUUUGAAAAAGAUCCUACCUUUACAAAAGGAUUUCAGAGGGAAAUAGAUGCCAAAUCGGGAAGGACCUUAUGUUGUGAAAAAGGCUUUUUCUGGAGACGCUUUGAUUUUAAGUGAAAUGGAUGGCAAAAAUCUUCCGAAUCCUGUAAAUUCAGAUUCGGUCAAGAAAUAUUUCACUUGAAGGAAGAGAGGAAUCAAAGUGAAAACCCACAAAAGGCGCUCUGAUUUCCUAAAAAAAAGGAAAAAGGAGAGGCCAAGGUGAAAACCCAAAAAGGGCGCCUUGAGACCAAAGGGGGUUUGAGUUGAAAACCUGAAAAGAGUGGCUCAAACAUUGUCAGAUUGGGGCAUAUGGGGAUCUUUUUUCACUUAAGUCAACAAUAAAAGGAUAUACGACGUCUUAGGGCAUUCACAGAGUACUGUAGAUCCCCUAAACACAUGCUAAAUUCAGAAUGGUUCUUGGCUUGCACGGAGAAGUUCAAGCGGUGAUAUCCAAAGCACCUAGUCUUCAUUUUAUUUGUACCAAAUUUGUUGGUUCUUGUAAAUACUUCAUUCUUUGCUGUUCUUGAAUACUUUUUCUUUUCAGGACACUCACUAUCAAUGAACUCUUGAAUUAAUUCAUCUCUUACUCAGUAUUUUUGAUCUUUGUGUAAGCAUGUCACAUUAGAAUAAUGAUUGAUGGACUAAUAAACUUUCACAAAAGAAGUUUGGUAUAUUACUCUGGGAAUUUCUAAAUAAUUUGGUAACCUGAAACAGGACUAUUGUUUAAAACACCCCGAGUUCAAAAGAUAAAAAGCCUAAGAAGUAAAAAGUUUAAAUUAAGACUACUUUUUCGAAUUUGGUUGUCCAAUAGUGAAUGAGACAGCAAGAAGUCUUGAUAGGGUAGGAAGAAGUCUCCUAUGGAAAGAAAGCUCCUUAUUUAGGCAUAAGCAUUUGAUAAGACACCCUGAGAGAGGUGUAAACAAAUUUCAUAAUCUGUAUCCUUGAAUUACGAUAGGAGAGGACUGAGAAGAGUCAAAUUUUCCUACUCUUAAGUCACGGUGGAAGAAAUAUAGUACAAACUCUGUGUCCUUGAGAAUUGAGCUUUGAAGUGCACAAUGGGGGCAAUUUGAUUUAGUGUUUUUCGAAGAUAUUAGCCAAGUAAAAGGCGCCAGCGACAAAACCUUAAUAAACUUCAAAAAAAAUGAUAAUUCUUGAAAAAUGACAUUCUGCAUUUAUUCAAAUGUCAUUCGUACAUGUCUAGUUGGGAGCCUUUGAUGCAUUUUAUGCCAUCCUAAUCAUUAGGCAUAAUUAGCUUCAUUAUACAGGUCAUGUUCCCCAGAGAGCAGAUCAGUGAAGAUAACAGAUCGAGUCUUAUCUCCCUGAAGUUACAGUGGAGCAGACUAAGUAGGCAAGUCUUAUCCACCUGAAGUUGCAGUGAGGCAGACUGAAGGUGGCAAAUCUUAUCUCCCUGAAGUUACAGUGGAGCAGAUUAAAGCUGGUAAUCCUAUCUCGCUGAAGUUGCAGUGAGCGGAUUAAAACCUUAGAUCUUAUCUCUCUGAAGUUGCAAAGAACAGAUCACAUCUAGUCUUAUCCUCCUGAAGUUGCAGUGAGGCAGACUGAAGAUGGCAAAUCUUAUCUCCCUGAAGUUGCAGUGGAGCAGAUUAAAGCCGGUAAUCCUAUCCCACUGAAGUUGUAGUAGGCGGAUUAAAACCUUAUAUCUUAUCUCUUUGAAGUUGCAGAGAGCAGAUCGCAUCUAGUCUUAUCUCCCUGAAGUUGUAGUGGAACGGACUAAGUAAGCAAAUCUUAUCCUCCUGAAUUUGCUGUGAGGCAGACUGAAGAUGGCAAAUCUUAUCUCCCUGAAGUGGCAGUGGAGCAGAUUAAAGUCGGUAAUCCUAUCCCACUGAAGUUGCAGUAGGCGGAUUAAAACCUUAGAUCUUAUCUCUCUGAAGUUGCAGAGAGCGGAUCGCAUUUAGUCUUAUCUCCCUGAAGUUGCACCAGGAGCAAGUUGAAGCCAUAAAAGUUACAGUAAAGAAGAUUGAAACAUUAGUUCAUAUACCUCUGAAGAUGCAGUAGGAAGGAAUGAGGCUACUUGAAGAAGAAGAAGAGCGCCAAGGUCCAGCAUGACCGGACAAAAUUGGGCAUUUUAAAGUCUUUGCUCUAUUCCUGUUACACGAUAACGAGCAAAGAGGGGCAACUGUAAUGCCUAAAUUUUUCCCGGGUACAAAUAAUAAAAAGGCCCUAAAUAAAGACACAGUCCAAUUACAACAAAAUGGGGCCCAAACCAAAAUAAAAACAGGCCCAAUGUGCGGUGGCCCAAAAUCGCCAGAAACCCUAGGGUUUCUAAUCUUCAACAACGCCAAAACGGAGGCCCAAUGUACGGUGGCUCAAAUGAUUUUUUUAGAGGAUUGGGGAUAUUUAUAGGGCACCAAAACGGCGUCGUUUUAGAGAGCCCCCAGAUGCCCAAAACGGCGUCAUUUUUGGGGAGGCCGACCCGGCUCCGACCCCACCCGGCAUAGGAUCCGCAUGUUUUUUUAGCGGAGGGGUAAAUUACGCUUUCAGCCCCUCCGCCUUUUAAUGUUUUCUGCAAUUAAAUUUUUUUAUUUUAUUAAGUUACCCAGUAAUUUAUUAUCGUUUUCAAUUUGGUCCUAAUGUGAAUGAUGUCGUUUAAAGGAGAAUAGAAAAUUGCCCUUCUAGCCCCUCUGCAUUAUCUGCGCGUUCAAUGUGGUCCCUUUGGCUUUAUUUAUUUGCGGAUUUACCCCAAAUUUUUUUAUUUGAAAUUCAAUUUAGUUCUCUUUUAUAUCUUUCUUAAAAUUGGUUGAUUUUUGGGAUGUAAUUAUUAUUUUUAUAUAUAUGUAUAUUUAUUGUUUCCUUAUGAACAUAUUUAUUUUCUUUCAACUAAUAUUUUUUUUAUUUAUAUAUUCCUACUUUUUUUUAUGUAAAUGUUAAUUAAUCCUUUUUUAAUAUAUUUUACAUGUAUACAUACAUAUAUUUUUUGAAUAUUCUAUUAUAUUUUCAUAUAUCUACGUACAUUUUUUAUUUUCGAAAAUAUUAAAAUACAUGUUUAUUUUUUUACACUUAUAUUUAUAUAUAUAUUUGUUUUUCUUUAUUUUCAUAAGAGCAUUAUAUGAAUUUCAUAAUUAAAAUUUUAUAUGUAAAUUAUGUACUUUAUUUCUCAUCAUUCCAAUGUGUAUAUUAUGCGCUGUUUAUCCUUUAUUGUUUCUUUCAUUUGUUUAUUGACCUUUUUUUAUUUUAUAUCUUGUUCAUUUAUUUAAUAUUCUUGUAUGUCAAAGAUUAUUUCUUUUAUGAAUGUUAGUUUCCUUUAUUUAUAUGUUUAUAUUGUUUCUAUGCCAUUGUGAUAUUUAUUAUUGCAUUGUAUAUUUAAUGUAGCAUCACAUCAUUUUUUUACUCGAUUUCAAACUUCUCAAAAUUGAGAUAAUGCUUGUAUUUAGGAUUUUCAAGGAAAUUGAGCCCUAACAUAUUAGGUUCCGAUUUUCUUCGUUAAAUCUAAGAAUCGAGCAUUUCUCUUUAAUCAAAAAAAAUAAGAACUCAUUAUUGGGAAUUCAACACGUUGUGUCCUAACGUAUUGGAUGUGACGCAUUGAUUUCUCGAAAUGAAUAUUUUUUUAAAAAAUAAUAAAGGAAAUAUUCCGAGUUUGGGAUUCUAGAGGAAUUGUGCCCUAACGUAUUGGGCCACGAUUUCUUAAAUCUUAAAUAAAUGGAAAUUCUUUUACAUUUUUUAUUGCACUAGUAUUUUGCCCUAAUUCAUUUUUGGGGAAAAUUAGAAUGUCGUGCCCUAACGUAUUGGGUGUGGUAUUUUCUUUCUCUGAAAUGAUAAGGGUCUUAAUACGUAACGUUUUUAAGUUUUUUGCUAAGGAUUAUAUUUUUCAAAUUUUCGACAUUAAAACAUUAAUUAAUUAACUAGGUACCAAUUUUUGGGCGUAAUGAGGAUGCUAAUCCUUCCUCAUACGUAACCAACUCCCGGACCCGUUUUUCUAAAAAUCGUAGACCAAAAUCGUUUUUAGGUGACCCAAUCACACCUCAAUAAAAGAUUGGUGGCGACUCCCAAUUUUCAUUUUUUAAAGUCGACAAUCUAAAAUUUUUGUUUUUUUUUCAAAAAUAAAAAAUGGUUUCACCAAUAAUAAAUAAUAAAGAUUUUACAUUUAUUUGAAGCACUUAUUUACAUUUUGAAUAAACUAUUAUUUUAGUCAUUGCCUUUUAAUUCUUAAUUUUUCUUUUAAAUUUUUUUAUAUGUUAAAUUUUAAGUUGAUUUUAAAUAAAUUAUUUCUUUAUUUUAAGAUAUUACUUAAUUAAAUUAACUUUUAAUAUUAUAAUAUUAAAAUUAAUAAUUAUUAAAUUGGUUAACUUAAAAUAUAAUUUUAAAAAAAGACAUAUUGAUAUUAAAUAUAUUUUCAAAUAUAAUAAGAGUUAAUAAUAUUAAUGAUUAAAGUAUAGCAAGUAUAAAUAUAAAAUUACAAAUAUCAAAAUUUAACAAUUUUAACAUUAAAACAAAUUAAUUUAACAAUAUAUAUUGUUGGAAAAAUUAUAUUUUAUGGGAAUUUUGAGGCAUAUUAUCAAUAAGUAAAGGUUGAGAGUUGAAUAAUAAAAUUAUAGUUCCAUAUUCUACUCUAUGAGACAUUUACAACUGUGUAUCAUAUACUCAAAAUGAUUGAGUGAUGAAUGAGAAAUUGAUGCUCAAAUUAAGCUAUUUAAAAAUAUUUGUUGAGGAAAAGUAAAAGCUUAGACCCCACAUUAGUUAAAUACUAAGUGUGAGAUGUGUAUGUAUAUGGAACCCUCUUAAAUAGUAAUUAAAUGACUAAAUUUGGAACCUUGCCUCACGCGAAAGGUUGGUUAUAGGUCCAAACUCAAUGGGGUAGGGGCACCUGCACAACGUGGGCGACGCAAAAUGUCGGGCUCAAAAUGGGCUUGCGAACAUUUUAGUCCAACACGAAAUUAUUUUUCCUCAACAGAUAAAAUUUGUUUAUAUAAAGAUAUUUCUCUUAUUUUAUUUGAUUCCAAUCAAUUUUAUUUAAUUUUUAAUUAAAUUGAUUUGUUGGCUCCUUUAAUAGUAGAUUUGAUAUUUCCAAAACUCCACCAUACUAAAUGCCUAUAAAAUGAUAUGGAUGAAGAAUUUUUCCACAUUGAUAUCCUCUUAGGCCGAAUUUAUUUUGCUGUCAAAAUUCUUCUUUUCCUCUCCGUAUUUUCCAAAGUUCCGGUGAUAGAAAAAGGUAAUGUUUGUUCGUUGAUCGCUGCAGAGACGCUACUGCUUUGAUCAUUAUGUUGUUGUAUUUUGAGAGACAUUCGACCAACAUUUCUCCAAGUACCGUAGGAGCGGCCGAAUCUAUGUUAAGGAAACCGUGUUAAACAUGCCUCAACGUUUAGUAAAUCUCUAUUCUUCCUUUCGAUUUCAACUUAUUGUUACGGUUUUUUUUUAUUUACGUAUUUGACAAUUUAAAUAUAAAUUAUUCUAUUUAUAUUUUAUUUCAUAUAUAAAUAUGUGUUUAUUUAUAUUUCAAUAUUUUAUUCGCUAAUGUGUUUUGUCCAACGUAUAUAUAAAUAAAUAACUUGUAAUAAAUUAUUAAUAAUAUUAUUUAAAUUAUAAUAUAUUAAUAUUAAUAUUUGAAUCAUAAUGAGUUUUUGUAUUAUUCUAAUAUUAAAUAUUAUUAAAAUUAAAUAACAUUAAUAUAAGUGUUUCUAAAAUAAUUGAAUAUUUUAAAAAAUAUUUUGUAGUUACAUUACUUGUCAAUUUAUUAAUAAAUAUUUUGAAUAAAUUCAUUAAUUUUUUUAAAAAUAAUAUUAUAAAUUUAGUGUACACUACCGACCUGUACAUGAUAUGGGAAUACAAGCUAGUUAAAUACUAUUAUCUACUGGAUAUCCAAUCUGCAAAAAGUAAAAAUAAAAAUAAAAGAUUUUCAAUCAGUUUUUAGAUAUCAAAAUUCACAAAAAUCUAAAUCGAAUCUAGUAAAAUUCUUUAUAUACACAAAAUCAAAAUUAAAAGUACUUUGUAAUUAGUGAAUUCAGAUAUUAAAAUCCACAUCUAUUAUUUGAAUAUGCGAUGCAGGUUUAGAUAAUGGACAUUCGAAGUAUCUAUCUGCAUCCGCAAUAGAUAGUAAUUUCAAAUCCGAAUUUCAAUAUUAAUCAAAUCCGCAAAAAAAAAAAAAAAAAAACUAAUUAGAUAUUUAGCUUCAACUUGAAUUAAGUAUUUUAAAUUUAUAUUUAAUUCAAUUAUAUGUUAAUUUUGGGAUGAAUUCAUUAAAUUAUUUAUUUUUAUGUAAAAUUAAUAAUUACCAUUAUUUAGAAUGCUUUAAUGGAAAAAAUAAAAUAUAAAAGUAAAAAGAAAUUUUAAAAAAUUCAUCUCAAAGUUAAUUAUUGUUACUAUAUAUAAUGAAAUUAAAAUUAAUUUUUUAAAAUUUUAACUAUAAAAAUUAUUAAUAUAUAUGAAUGAUAUGUUUGUUUUAUUAAAUGAUGGGUUACUAUAUCACUUCAUUUCUAACAUUUUUUUUUCUUUUAUGUUAGGAUAUUAAAAAUGAUCUUGUUUGAUAAUUGAAAAAUUAAAUAUAAAAAAAAUUAAAUGUUAAGUUUAAGUUAUGAAACUUGUUUAAUAUAUUUAUUAAAAUUAAGUGUAACAUAUGAUUAAAUUAUUUGAUUAAUGUAAUUUUUAAAAUUUUAAAUGUAAAGUUAUUUAAACAAGAAAUAAAGUAAAUUGAAAUGAAUUGAAAAAAAUUCUAAUUAGUGUACUUAUGGGAGGAAAAAGUUUAUUUAUUGCAUAUAUUACUAUAGUUAGAUAUAAAAUAAAAUUAGUAUAUAUUUAAGCUUAAAAUUAGAAAUAUGAGAAAAAAUUCAAGUAAAAAAAUAAAAUCUCUUGAAAAAUAAAUAAAAAGUUUUCCUUCUAUUUUCCAAAAGCAAGCCAUGGAAGUGACUACAAAUUACUAAUUGAAAUUAGUUUAUGGUUAGCUUAUAUACUAAAACAUAGUAAAAAAAUAAUACUCUUACCAAAGGUAGCAUGAGUGAUCAGAAACUCUUCAUCUAUUUAUUAUUUUUCACUUUUUCUCAUUCUAUCAUUUUCUCUUUAUGUUAGAUUAUCAAAGAUGCUUAUAAAUCACUGAAAAUAUUAAUUUUAGAUUAUUUAAUUAUUUUCAAUCAAUUAUCUAAACAGGGAUCAUGUUACUUUGAUGAUAACCUAUUAGGUUUUUUUGUGAAUAAGUACAUUGCAAUAGGGAAUGAGGAAACGGUUUACAAAUAUUGGAAUUGAAUCCCGAACCUCUUGUUAAUUAACUUGAAAUCCGCACAAAUUUAUCGCUGAGUCGGUGGACGGUCCACAAUAAUCAAUUAGUUUUAUCCUUUUAUAGUUUCGUAUGGUAAAUCGAUUGCUGAACAGAAUAGCCAAAAUCGUAGCUGAACUAAAUAUGCACAAUAUCAACACAUAAUUUGUUUGUAAAUUGAAUCACAAUGAUAAACAUUAUAGCAGUUUGUUUUCUAAGAUGGCUUUUCUAGAACUUGCAAUUUCAUUGAAACAUCACCGGAAACUUGAAGAGAACAAAGGCAGAGUAAUAAUUAUUACAGGAAGAUGACAAGUCUGCUUCAUGUAUAUAAAAUAUAGGAUUGUACUGGUCAAAAUGCAUCAGACAUGUCAAAAUGUAUCAGACAUAAGUGGAUGAACAUCUGAUACAGAUGUAAUGAUGGAAUCCCUGUAAAAUCCGUGUGAGAGUGAAGUACCCGAUCUCAGUUGGUUUUGUGACAACAACCUCUGCUUGUUUUGGCUGAGUCGGAAAAAAACCUCGCAAAACUCUAAUUCUCUCCAGUUCCAUGACCACUUCUUUCAUUGUUGGUCUAUCUUUGCCAUCUAAGUUUAAGCAUCUUUUAGCAAGGUAAGCAACUGCAACUAGUUCCUCCUUUUGGCCAUCCUUCAAAACUUGAGGGUCAAGUGUAUCUAGAAAAUGGUUUUGGUCCACCGAGGAGAUGAAAUAGGAGACUAGGCUUUUCUUUUCUUGCGAUCCAGAUGUUAAGACUGGCUUUUGUGCUAUUAAGAGCUCGACCAGAACCACUCCGAAACUAUAAACGUCACUUUUCUCAGUGAAUUGACUUGACUGAAAGUAUUCAGGGUCUAAAUACCCAAAGGUUCCUUGAACUUGAGUUGUCAAGUGAGUUUGAUCAAUGCCGAUUGAUCUCGAUGUUCCGAAAUCUGAUACCUUAGCUCGGAACUUUUCAUCUAGUAGUAUGUUACUAGACUUUAUAUCUCUGUGAUAGAUGGGGACAGAAGCAGAGACGAGUGUAAGUAAGAAAUUGCAUUUGAAACUUCAGCUGCUAUGCGUAAUCGCAUAUCCCAAGAUCUUGGGUAUUCUUCAUUUUGGUCAUGGAUUAGCUGAGAAAGGGUUCCAUUUGGAAUGAAUUCAUAAACGAGUAGAGAGACUUCGGUCUCUAAGCAACAGCCUAAUAAUUUGACAACAUUUCGGUGAUCAAUUUUGGCAAGAAUAACGAUCUCAUUGAUGAAUGGGUCGAGAUGCUCUUGGUCUACUAUUUUGGACUUUUUUACAGCCACAAUUCUCCCAUCAUGCAACUUUCCUUUGUAAACCACGCCUUGGCCACCACGACCCAGGAUUCUGUUCGUUAUAAGUUUGUAACUCUUUGGAAGUGAAGAAUUUAAUAUUCUCCACACCACCUUCCUUAGAAGACUACUUUUUCUCAAGCAGUAGCCCACCAUUUCUUUUAAAAUGCUCUUGCUUGCAUUUUAUAUUUCUCCUUUUCUCUAGUUUACUAUAAAGCCACCAAACUCCAGCAAACAACAAGAACCCUGCAGCUAAGCAAAUACCUGCGAUCAAAAUGAAAGUCAGUCAUCGAUUAACUUCUGACAUUCUUAAUAUCUCCAUUUUAAGCUAAGAUUUGAAAUAAAAUUUUCCAUUUUAAGUUCUAAUGUAAUACUAUCCUAAGAGGAGAGCAAGAAAGCCAAUACUAGUUUCUAACAAUUAAAUGAAUAGGUUAAACUAUUCUCCAGCAAAAACAGAGAUCUAGUAGACUUGACCUAAUCUUUAUGCAGCUUUUCAUGUAAUACAAUAUAAUUAAAUAGAAUGACCUUAUUAUGAACCAUGAAAUUGUUUAUGAGUCAAGCCGACCCUAUUAAAGCUUAGGGCCUGUUCUUCAUUACUUAAAAAAAGAACUUCUGACUUCAAAAACACUUUUAGAAGAAAAGCUAUGCAUAAUAAACUGCUUUUGGCUAAAAAUUUUAGCUUUUCCUCUUCUAAAAGCACUUUUGGUUCUUAAUUACUUUUUCAUCCCUUUAAUAACAUAGUACUUUCCUUUUUUGUUUUUUUUUUGUGCUUAAUUACAAAUGUAUUAAAAUCAUUAAUUAAAAAUAAAAAAAAUAUUUUUUAAAAUAUUAAUUAUAAAUAUUUAAUGGUUAUAUUUAAAUAUUUAAAAUAUAGUUUAUAUAUUCUAAUUAAAUUUUAUUAAUAAUUAAUAUUCAUUGCUUAAAAAUAUUUAAAAUUUAUAUUUUAUAUAUUAAAAUAUUAACAACAAGUUAUAAUAAUUUUUUAUAUUCUUACUAAAAAAUAAUAAUAUUAAUUAAUUUAAAUAUUAUUUAAAUGCAUUUGUUACUUGAUAAUAACAUGUCUAAAAUGAACAUUUUAUUUCUUAAAAGUACUUUUUGACAGCAAAGCUAAACACUCAAAUUUUAAAUCAAACUUUUCAAAAGCACUUCUCAAAAGUACUUUUCCACAACACUUUUCAAAAGCACUUUUCAAAAAAUUACCAAACUAACCCUUAAAAGUGCAAAUAAGCUUUAAUUUCAUAUUUUAUUCAACAUUUAAUUCACUUUCCAAUAUUUUUUGUGAUUUUCCAAAUUGAUACUAUUGCAUGCUGUCCAUACAAUUUUUAUCGUUAAUUUUAUUCAAUCAAAUUUUCUUUGCAUUAAUUCUCACUUACACUCACAUAACACUAAAGUAUAUUCAUAAUUAGUCAUGCCAAAAGCUAUUCAUCAUCAAUUAAUUACAAAUCUUCAUUGUAACACAUUCUCCAUAUCAACUUCACUCAAAUUUGACCACAUAUCGCUCACAUUGCUCACCACAUAUUCACAUUCAUUUGCACUUAAUCAUUUUCUGGUUGAACACUUAGGAAUAUUAUUGGAUACGUCAGAAGUUUGCACAUAAGUGCCACACUUGUAGCAAAAGCUACUUAACAUCAUUUUUCACAUAAAAGCUCAUUCUCGAGCUAUUCACUUUCAUGGGUCUGCUCACACAAGCUGUCAGUCUUUUGUUACUACUCAGUGCUGCUCACAUAAGCUGUCAGGCAUCCGCAACAUAUGCCGGUAUACCCAGCCACUGGUAGAACUUAAGACCAGCACCCGAGUUCACAUUAAUCACAAUUUUGCAUCACGAGCCUGCUCACACAAGCUGUAAGUCAUUCAUUACUACUCAGUGCUGCUCACACAAGUUGUCAAGUAUCCGCAACAUAUACCGGUAUACCCAGCCACUGGUAGAACUUAUGACCAGCACCCGGAUCCACUUUAUUCACACUUUCACAUAGAUCUCUAACGACAUGUCACUUGUAUCCUAUUCUAUUCCUAAGGUUCAACCGAGAAAAUUUCUCACACUUUAUUAUUUCGUAAAUUUUAUUCGAUAUUCAAUCACAUAUAUCAUAAAAUAUAUCUUUCGUCCACAUAUCAUAAAAUAUAUUAAGACAUAAAAUCAUAAAUAAAAAUUUAUGCAUUAUUUACAUAAAAACUUACCUCGGCUCAAAAUAUAGAAAUUUCUGCAGUUUAAUCCACAACUUUUUCCUUUCCCCAUUCGAGGUUGAUUCUGCGUCUUUCUUCAUCUAUAAUAGAAAAUUUAGCUUGUUUAAUAUUCACAUUUAUCAAAACAGUACUCGGUUCAAAUUUUAGAAAAAUUACGAUUUUACCCCUAAAUUUUUACAUAUUUCCAUUUUUGUCUCAAAGCUCGGAAAUUAAAUUUUAUUCCUUAUUCUUGUGUUUUAUAACAUGCUGAACACUUUUCCCUUCUAUAGCAACAUCCAAUUCUCACUCUAAUACUUAUGUACAUUAGGUAUUUUUAUCGAUUAUGUCAUUUUACUCGUUUCUACUUAAAAUCACUUAGCAAAAGUUGUUUAACAUAAUUCUAAGCUUCAUAAUCUAUCAUGAAACAUCAAAAUACACACUUUUCACCUAUGGGUAAUUUUCCAAAUAUAAACCCUACCUCGAAUUAAUGGUAAAAUAAGCUAAAUCGAGCAACGAGAACUUCAAAAACGUAAAGAAUAUUAAAAACAGGGCUAGGAUGUACUUACAAUAAAGCUUGAAAGUGGCCAAAACCCUAGCUAUGGGAGACUUGUGAUAUUUGGCCAAGGUAUGAGGAAGAUGUACACAUUUUGGCCUUAUUUUCCCUUUUUAAUUCAUUUAAUUUCUAAAUGACUAAAAUGCCCCUAAUUAAAAAAAUCUAUUUUUCUAAUUCUAUGUCCAUUUUUGUCUCACAAACUAACCAAUGGUCUAAUUGUUAUAUAAGGACCCCCAAUUUAUAAUUUCAUAACAAUUGAGCAUCUUUAACAUUAAAAUUCAACUUUUUCACUUUUUAUAAUUUAGUCCUUUUGACUAAAUUGAGUGCUCAAACGUCGAAAUUUUUGAACGAAAAUUUCACGUAAUCUUUUCGUGAAAUUGUAGAUCAUAAAAAUAUAAUGAUAAUAAUAUUUUCCUUUAUCGGAUUUGGGGUCCCAAAACCACUAUUCUAAUUAGGCCCUAAAAUCGAGCUGUUACAAAUUGUAAACUCAAAUGAAAUAAAUAAAGUACAACACAUUGAAUAGUUUUUGUUAACAUUCCAAUUCUCUUAAUCAUCACAACUGUACAUGUUGACAAACAAUCUUCACCAUCACCAAGUAAUUACUCCAAAAUUUGUCGAAACUAAUAUUAAAAACAUCCUUUACCUUCCCUAGUUUAAACCCAUUCUAAGCAAUAAACUUCUUGGAAGUGAUCAUGGCUUGCAAAUGACCCUUAUAAUCAUGCAAAUUCUUCAAAGUAAUAAAAGUAAUAGCAAAACAUUUCUCACUAGGAUGACAACCAACCCAAAGUCCAUUUGUGAUUAUACACAAAAAUUGUAAUAGAAGAAGCAUGCUAAAUUAAAAUGAGAUGUUUUACCAACAUCCUUCAAAAUUAAAUUGAUACAAGGUGCUGCACAUGGUGACCAAAAGAUGUUAGGAUACUUCUCAUGACAAAAUUUCCUAACAUCUUUAUAAUUUGAAGCAUUAUAUGUAAUUAGCUAGACCACAUUGCUCAAACCAACAAUUUUUACAAUCUUCGCAAAUAAAUUUUAAACUAAACUUUUCAAAAGCACUUCUCAAAAGUACUUUUCCACAACACUUUUCAAAAGCACUUUUCAAAAAAAUUACCAAACUAACCCUUAAAAUCCUCGGGCUUCGUUUGGUUUUUGAAAAUAUUUUUUAUUUUAAAAAAUUAAAAAAUAUAUGAUAAAUAAAAAUAAAAUUUUGUUUUCAUUAUUGAAAACAUGGUUGAUAACUAUUUUUCUAUAAUAGAAAUACGAAAAUUAAAAAAAAUUACAUUUAUAUGGAUUUAAAUGAUGAUAAUAAAUUUAAUAUAUGAAAAAUUGUUGAAAUUAAAAUAACCCGAUAUUUUUAUAUUUAUUUGGGUUUGAACAAAGGAUAACUCAUUUAAAGUUAAAAAAAAUUAUUUUGAUCAUUUUGAGUUUUACAAAAUAUUUUUAGUGAAUAAUAAAAACAAAUUUUUAUUAUUUUUCUCAUUUUUACAUAUUUUCAUCUGAAAAUUUACUUUUAAAAUUUCAACUAAAUGAAUGUUUUCCAUUUUAAGGAAAUGAAAAUGAAAAUGGCCUCUAUCUAUCCCCUAAAACUAUAUGGAGUCUUAAUUUUUAGGAUCAUUGAUGUAAGAUUCUUCUAUAAUUAUGCAAAAUUUGGGAUGAGCAACAACAAUAAGAUGUCUUGGACUGAUCCUUGUUGGAUAAACUACAAAUUUAGUAAUAAAGAAAUCAAAAAUAGUAAAGAAGAAACUAGAGAAUAAAAAAAUAAAAAUCAUAAAUAAAUAAGAAAUAAAAAGUGAAAGAUGGACGAGGAAACCGAUAGAUAUGAUGGAUAGAAGGAUAAAUGUAUAAUUGAACCCUUUGAAAUAUAAAUCCCAACAAACUCAAUUAAUGACUCUAAUCAACCCUCUAAGAAAUAAUCCUUGAAGAAUGAAUUGAAGGGUGAAGAAUGAAUUCCCACGACUUCUUAAAGAAAAUCAAGAAUAAAACUACUUCUAAAAAUUACAAGAAAGAAAUCUUGCACAAGAAAAAAACUCCCAGAGUUGAAAACUUUAUUAAUGAAAACAAUUGUCUCCUUAAUAAAAAAUGAAGAAGCCUUUAUAUAAGCUAGCUAAGUACAUCCAAAUAAAACUCUAAAGUAUACUGAAACUCUAAUUAAUCUAAAUAAAAAAGUAGUUUUAAACAAAACUUUCUUGGUAACAUAAAACUCCUAAAUAACUUAAAAUACAUAAUAAAUAUAAAAAAUUCGUAAUAAUAAAAUAAUAAGAGAUUAUAAAUGCAAUAUUGGACUCAUAUAUAAUAAAAAUUAAUCCAAAAAUCCGAACCAAAUAUGAUUUAAACUUGAGUUAAAAGCACAAAACUCGUAAUACCUGUCAUAACCCUGUCAAAAAAUUCUGCCCGCGCAGUUUUCACUAAAAUGGUCAUAAUUUGAGCUUCCGGACUCGAAAUCAAGUGAUUCCAUUCAAAAAGUCGACGCAAGUAUGCUGAUUUCCCAAACUUAAAAAUCGACAAUUUUGGUGACUGGAAUUUAAUAAAUUUCACCCCAUCCAUGCAUGUAUCACAUAUACAUAUUAGGUUACCCGUUCGAGUUUAACCUUUAAAACAAAAUCAGGUUACCAAUCCAAGCUAAACUUGCGUCACAUGUAUCUUCAAGUCCGCAACAAAUGUUGGAUUCUUGAAAUUAUCAAAAAUUGACCUGUAACCAUGUGUACGAUACAUUUACAAAGUUUCAUCAGGGUAAUUUGCAUCAUGCAAGUUCAUAUUUAUUCUCUUUUUUUAAUUUAAUCCAAAUCUCACACUUUAGUACUAAAUUGCAAACAAUUCAAAGUUCAAUAAAACAUACAUGUAUUCACAAUAUAGCAUACAUAAGGGUCUAAGCAUAAUUACACCAUAUGAACGUACCUGGCAAAAUGAAAUUAAACACAACAUACUAUUAUGUAGGCUACAACAUUAGUGUCAUUAAAAUUUUAAUGGUUCAACCAGUUUUCCAUCCACAAAAAUAAUUUGACUAAAAAUUGAAAGUUGAUGGCCAAGGUGAUCCAAAAAAAUAAGGUUAAAGUAACAAAAUAGAUACACAGUAGGGGUUAAAUUUAUCAUUAUGCCUUAAGCUUUUUAAAAUAAAGAUAAAAUUAUUUUAAUAUGUAGUGGUUUGAAAUUUUAUAAAUUAUAUGAAUUCUUUUAUGUAUUUUUACCAUAAAAUUAUAUUAUAUUAUUAAAUAUUGCUAAUAAUAAAUAUAUUAUAUAAUAUACACAGUAAUAUCUUUCACCUGAGUUAAAACUAAUUCCAAUUUUCACAAAAUGAGACAUGUCCAAAGCAAUUCAAUUAUUUAAUCAUUUGAAACUUGAGUCUUCAACCUUGCAACUUAGUUAUGCUUCAAUAAAUGAACCCCACUCUGAGAAAUUUUGAGGAAACAAAGUAUUUAUAGAAAUAAUUAUAAAAUGCAUAUUAAAAUAAAACAAGAUGUCAAGAAAUAAAUUGAAACAACGCAUAUAGAUUAAGCUCCAACUAUUGUAAUUUAACAUUAUAUUUCUCUCGAAACUAGGAAAUUUAGAAGCAAACUAUUUAAAAUCAUACACCAUCGAGCUGCUUGAGGUUCAAAUGUGAUUAUGUACAAAUGAUAAUCUGAUUACAUGCUUAGCGAGCACCUUCAAGUUCAAAUGUGAUUUUGUUAUUUAUGCUAUCAUACCCCAUCCCUGUCGAGCUGCUUGUUACACCAUCAUCAUAAGUGCUGGGAAACUUACCAAGCAAGUAUUCAGAUUCUUCGCUUACUAAAUUACUUUUACUCCAAGGAUGUUUAGCCAUUGCUUGCAGUCCUGCUAAUUCAUGGGCAACUUCCUUCAUUGUUGGCCUUUCCUCUCCCUUCACUCUCACACAUCUCCUAGCUAAAGUUGCUACUUCCAUAAGCUGCUCAACAUUUUCAUCAUUAAGCACUCGAGGGUCGAGAAUGUCGAGCAAACGGUCUUCUUUCAUCAAAGAUGUGAAGUACAUUGGCAAAACUCGAUUUUCUUCCGGUCUUUUGAAACAUACCACUUUUUGUCCUGUUAACAACUCCAUAAGCACAACCCCGAAGCUGUAAACAUCACUUUUUUCAGUAAGAAGGCUUGAAAGCAUGUAUUCAGGAUCCAAGUAACCGAAAGUUCCUUGCACAAUUGUAGUUAUUUGUGCUUGGUCAGAUGGGAUCAAUCUGGAAGCCCCAAAAUCAGAAACUUUUGCGGUGUAAUUGUCAUCUAACAGUAUGUUCGCCAACUUGAUGUCUCGGUGAAUGAUUGGAAUGGAAGCUGCAGAGUGCAAAUAAGAAAGGGCUUCUGCUGUUUCAGUGGCUAUUCUCAGACGGGUCUCCCAUGAAAGAUAAGAG